ACACCACUUUUAUGAGACUAGCGCUGUUCUGUUGACCUUUAGUUAUGUUGCUACUGAGCAUGAAGGACAGGCCAGUUAUCAGUUCUGUCCAACAUUGAUGGUAGGUUUAGAAAAAAGUCAACAUAUUUUAAUCAUAUCACAAUAAUACCAAUAACCGUGAUCCUUUUGGUCAUGAUUUUUCAUCAAAUGUUCAUACUGUAUCUCUAGUGGCUGUAAAUUUAAAAAUAUUUU